ACUCCUACGGGAGGCAGCAGUCGAGGAUCUUCGGCAAUGGGCGCAAGCCUGACCGAGCGACGCCGCGUGUGCGAUGAAGGCCUUCGGGUUGUAAAGCACUGUCGAGGGGGAGGAAGCCGAAAGGUUGACCUAUCCCUGGAGGAAGCACGGGCUAAGUUCGUGCCAGCAGCCGCGGUAGGACGAACCGUGCGAACGUUGUUCGGAUUCACUGGGCUUAAAGGGCGCGUAGGCGGGUGGUCAAGUCAGGGGUGAAAUCUUUCGGCUCAACCGGAAAAGUGCCUUUGAUACUGGCCAUCUCGAGGGAGGUAGGGGCAUGUGGAACUUCCGGUGGAGCGGUGAAAUGCGUAGAUAUCGGAAGGAACGCCGGUGGCGAAAGCGACGUGCUGGACCUUUUCUGACGCUGAGGCGCGAAAGCCAGGGGAGCAAACGGGAUUAGAUACCCCGGUAGUCCUGGCCCUAAACGAUGGGUACUGGAUUGUGGACUUUACAUGGGUUCACAGUCGA
rnacentral:rRNA from 1 species